UUCUACCAAAACCAAGAACUCACAAUCUCUACCAAAACCAAAAACUCACAAUCUCUCACUAGCCCCGCAAGCUCUCACCGUAAACUGUCACCAUUUUCAACUCACCACCGUAUUCUCUCAUCAAAACACCAUCACUGGCAUCCUGCAACCUCUCCUCAGUUUGCGUAUGGACGGUUCGAUUCUACCCAUCGAUGUCGGUUCGAUUCUACUCAUUGGUUUGGGUUCGAUUCUCCUCAGUUUGAUUAGAGUUCAGCUUAGUUUGUAUUGGGAAGAAGGUGGAGGAGAAAGGGGUUUUGAUUAGGGUUCUUCAUUUUGGGGAUUUCUGAGCAACUCGAUUUAGGGCUUUCUCGAAGCAAUUGAUUUGUGUUCUAUUAAUGCUCUUUGUCGAAUUGGAAUGAUGAAGACGGAGAUAUUGACCCUUGCUCUUGGUUACACAAUUUUCUCAGUCUUCUUCUCUCCCCGAAAUAUAAAGUCCAUGGGUCCACGCCAACCUCCGCGUCCCACUCACAAGUAAAUCUGCUAUCCAUUCAAACUAUCGAAGCUCCCAGCUCCUAGCCCAAGCCAGAUCUGCCGCCUCCAAGUCCUCCCUUACCAAGUGAAGGAAAAUGCUUAAAGGUUGUAUCUUGUGCAGGUUUAGCUUUGGAGUUUUAGAGAGAGUAGUGACUGACCCAUUUAGUGGUUUGUCGAAUUGGAAUGAUGAAGACAGAGAUAUUGACCCUUGCUCUUGGUUUGGGGUUGAAUGCUUAGAUGGAAAAAUUGUGGUCUUAUUCAAAUCAGCCCACCAUCAAAGUGUGAGCUCAGCAAGACAGUAAGCUUCAUCAGCCUCUGUGCACAACUAUAUAUUGAAGACCUUUGUCAUGGAAAGAUGUCAAAAAAAGAAGCAAUUAGGCUUUCAAAUAUAUUUCUGCUCACCUCAUUAGAGAUGCCAGUUUCAAGAAUAAAUCUGAAAUAAAUUCGGUGAUUGAGUGUUCUAUUAAUGCUCUUUGGUGCUUGGACGAGUUGAGCUUUUGCAAAGGAGGUUGUUGAGGAAAUCAUUAUAUUUCUGAAUAAGAAAAAAGACCAACUGGAAGCCCAAGCAAUGGUAGUUGAGCAAAAAAUCUAGGGAUUGAAAUUAAAAGCAGAAGAUGAGUACAUAUUAAAGGAGCUGACUAUUGUUAGACAGAGUUUUCUUGUUGGAGAGCUGUUAUUGUUGGCUGUGCUGCUAUUGCUGGAGUUGUAAGGAGCUAGCUUGACUGUAGGAGAGGAGAGGCAACAGUCAAUAUACCAAAGCAGACAUAGACAUGAUGCGAAAUGAAUGGGCAAAGUAUGUCGUGAAGGCGUAUGUGUAGGAGCUAAAGGAAAGCAUAAGAGGAAGUAGGUUGUUGCUGAAGGAAAGCAUCAUUUUUGUGCUUCUCUGCUGGUACAAUAUUCAUGCACUGUGUGGCAUGUUUUGUAACAAAUAAUUUGUAUUUAUAUCAGCUUUUGAUGUCCCAAAUAGAUGGGCAUGCAGUUGAAUGCUUUUCUUCUUUCAAUGUUGGCUUGGAUGAAUGGGAAAU